UAAUUGAAGAGUUUGAUCAUGGCUCAGAUUGAACGCUGGCGGCAGGCCUAACACAUGCAAGUCGAACGGUAGCAGGAUGUGCUUGCACAUCGCUGACGAGUGGCGGACGGGUGAGUAAUGCUUGGGAACUUGCCUUUGCGAGGGGGAUAACAGUUGGAAACGACUGCUAAUACCGCAUAAUGU
rfam:Alteromonas confluentis strain KCTC 42603 Alteromonas_confluentis_KCTC42603_S35, whole genome shotgun sequence.